GACGAACGCUGGCGGCGUGCUUAACACAUGCAAGUCGAACGGAAAGGCCCUGCUUUUGUGGGGUGCUCGAGUGGCGAACGGGUGAGUAACACGUUAGUAACCUGCCCUUGACUUUGGGAUAACUUCAGGAAACUGGGGCUAAUACCGGAUAGGAGCUCCUGCUGCAUGGUGGGGGUUGGAAAGUUUCGGCGGUUGGGGAUGGACUCGCGGCUUAUCAGCUUGUUGGUGGGGUAGUGGCUUACCAAGGCUUUGACGGGUAGCCGGCCUGAGAGGGUGACCGGCCACAUUGGGAAUGAGAUACGGCCCAGACUCCUACGGGAGGCAGCAGUGGGGAAUAUUGCACAAUGGGCGGAAGCCUGAUGCAGCAACGCCGCGUGCGGGAUGACGGCCUUCGGGUUGUAAACCGCUUUCGCCUGUGACGAAGCGUGAGUGACGGUAAUGGGUAAAGAAGCACCGGCUAACUACGUG
rnacentral:rRNA from 1 species